UAAACCCAGCUGGAACUGGUCUGAGGCUGCGCCGGCCCUGCGAGUGCGGUUUUAAGGGCUUGGCGGGAACGUGCGUGAGGCCGCAGCUUCUUGCUCGGGAUGAGAAAAUUAUGGCUCAGAAAGGCACAGCUUGUCUGCAUUUAAACAGCUAGUUGACAGAUUGGCUGGGACUUCGUUUUUGUCAUCAAAGUCCGUGUUCUUUAAGAAUGGGACAUUGGAGGAGAAGAUGAGAAAAGUAUCUCGCAACCCACUGAAUACAGCCGUUACCACUGGGAACUUUGUCUAAUCCAUCCGAUUUUCUGAACUCAUCUGCUUCUUAUGCUGCUAGUCUUCAAGAGAUCCAUUCAUUGUAAGUUCCAAAGACUUUAGACUCUUUUCUCAACUGGUUUGUAUAUUGGUCUCCAUCUAGACACAGAUCAAUUUCGAAAAACCAAGACCUAAAAAUAAUUAAAGUGUCUGAUGUGAGCUAGAACUAGAGGUUGUGUCACACACAGACCUUGCUACCCUUCUGGAGGUCGGACCAAGCCCCUGAAAACUAUGUGUUUAAUGCGUUCUCACCCCAACCUCAACACCAAACCAUGCCGCUUAGUUUAUAAUCCGGCCAUAUGUGGUGGUGGGCUAUGAUUUCGUUUGCAUUUUAGAAUCUGGAGAUUCGUGGCAGUUCAAUUGAAGAAAAAUUCUUCUCUCAUUUCUUAAAGUCAUGUACUUCACUGAUGUCAUUAUAAAUAGGGAACUUCACAGAUUUUAAAGAACAGAAAACUUUCAUUAAGUCAUUUGAUACAGAACAUCUGGCAAAAUCACUCUGCAGAUCAAAAUACAGUGAUGAAGGAAGAAACUGGCUUUAUAUUUUUGAGAGUGUUCUGUAAUGUAUCCCAAAAGACAUGGUCGUCAUGUGCAGUGUGCUUUAUAUUUGGGGAUGUUCAGUGAGUUGAACGGUUUCAUGAAGACCUUCUUGUUUUCCAAGAGACCUUUUUCAACAGCCAACACAGCAUACUCCAUUAAAUUUUACUAUUGUUUUCAGUGUCAAAACAUGACUCUUUGAAUUAUUUCUUUUUCUUUCUUCUUAAAACAGUACCAUAUGACAUGCUUAUGCGUGUCAUGACUACUCUUUAACCUUUUGCCUUUUGAAAUGUUUAACUUUAUAUGACCUAAAAGUUAGACCUCGCUGAUCUCCCAUGAUGCUU